AUCAGUUUCUCAUCCUUAAAAAAGGGAGCUGAACCGCUUUUGUGAGACCUAGCAUCCUGAGCUGAUCCCCCAGAAGAUCCAGAGCAACCAGCUGCAAGGGCUGGCUCAGCAGCUGUCCCCUGGGGCCUCAGAGGAAGAUGAGUUUUCUGGUGCUUGGCAAAGAAAAAAAAAAUCUCCUUGGCCUGCCGCAGGAUAUUGGGGAAGAGGUUUGAGCUCAAGAGAAUUCAAAUUUGCCUGUAAAGCACCCUUUUUCUUAUGGAGCUAAGGUACCAGUUCAUUUCUUUCCUCCAGUUAAGUCUGCCCUACAGGAUUGCUGUGGAAAUCUGCUGGCUUCAGCUUCCUGUUUGACUGCCAUAAACAAGGAAAUCCAUAUCCUCCUUGCCAGUUUUUCAGCAGAACCAACCUGCUUGUUCCUGGGCAGCUGGGUGAAUUGGAUUUUGGAAGGAUGCUUUGUGUCUUUGAAGUCUUUUCUGGCUAAAUACCAUUAAUCUUCAGAGUGAUUCAGUUCUUAAGGAGGGCAACUCAGCCAGAAUAGGAACCUGGUCUUCUCACUACUAAUCCCGUUGCUACAACCACUAGUUUUUAGAUUUGUGUGUUGAAACAUCUUGAACAAAAUGCUAGUGAGAGCAAUUCUGCAGCAUCCUGCUGACUGAAUUCAAGGUGCAGCCUCGUUUGCCAUCUGCCUGCAAGCUCACAGUAGUAAUUAUAGCGAGUCUCGCAAGUGCUGGAA